rnacentral:tRNA from 1 species
UGGGGUGUGGCUCAGGGGUAGAGUGCUUGCCUAGCAUGUCCGAGACCCUGGGUUUGAUCCUCAGCACCACAU